CUGCGCUGCGCGGACCUGCAAGGAGGAGAGGAGGAUGGCAGCAAAAAGGAAGAACCUGAAUAUAAGAAAGUAUUUUUCAAAGAAACCUCUCAUUCUGUGUAAAACCUAAAGACGGCUGUGCUGGAACAUCCCCAUAAAUCAACAGCUUCUAACAUACUCAGACCUGGUCACCUGGAAAAAAAGGGGACCCCUUCCCCAUAGGUAUGAACCUUCACGUCUGAAUGUGCAGGCCUCCACGGAAAACAAGCACCAAUGACUUCUCCUCUGCCUCUAACCACAUACACAAACGGCAUCAGGCAGAACAGUGAUGUCUACUGUAUCUCAGCUACUGUAUUCAAGAUGGCAGGACAACAUGGCUGCUUCCACAAGCUGGUUUUGUGUAUUUUAAUGGAUUAUUUCUAAGACAGUUACAAACUAAUCAAUGUAUAAUUGGUAAAUGUUAAAUAGACUGAUUCUUAUAUAGCCCUUUUCUACUCUCCCGGAGCACUCAAAGCACUUAAU
ensembl:lncRNA